rnacentral:ncRNA from 1 species
CUUUCUUAGUUUGGUCGUGCCAUUUCAUGGAUUAAAUUUGCAAAUUUCAUCGUCGAGAGGGAAACAGCCCAAAUCAUCAGUUAAGGCCCCUAAAUGACCACUCAGUGAUGAAGGAAGUACGAGUGCAAAGACAGCUAGGAGGUUUGCCUAGAAGCAACCAACCUUGAAAGAGUGCGUAAUAGCUCAUUGAUCGAGCGUUAAUAUCUUUGAUUUUCCUUCUAAACCUUUGACUACCUUGGAUGAAGAAUAAGAAGGUGCAUUAGUUGGUGUUGCUUCUCAUGG